AUUGAACGCUGGCGGCAGGCCUAACACAUGCAAGUCGAACGGUAGCACAGAGAGCUUGCUCUCGGGUGACGAGUGGCGGACGGGUGAGUAAUGUCUGGGAAACUGCCCAAUGGAGGGGGAUAACUACUGGAAACGGUAGCUAAUACCGCAUAACGUCUUCGGACCAAAGUGGGGGACCUUCGGGCCUCACACCAUCGGAUGUGCCCAGAUGGGAUUAGCUAGUAGGUGGGGUAAUGGCUCACCUAGGCGACGAUCCCUAGCUGGUCUGAGAGGAUGACCAGCCACACUGGAACUGGGACACGGUCCAGACUCCUACGGGAGGCAGCAGUGGGGAAUAUUGCACAAUGGGCGCAAGCCUGAUGCAGCCAUGCCGCGUGUAUGAAGAAGGCCUUCGGGUUGUAAAGUACUUUCAGCGGGGAGGAAGGCGAUGGAGUUAAUAGCUUCAUCGAUUGACGUUACCCGCAGAAGAAGCACCGGCUAACUCCGUGCCAGCAGCCGCCGUAA
rnacentral:rRNA from 1 species